UACGAAGGGUGCAAGCGUUACUCGGAAUUACUGGGCGUAAAGCGUGCGUAGGCGGUUUGUUAAGUCCGCUGUGAAAGCCCUGGGCUCAACCUGGGAAUUGCAGUGGAUACUGGCAAGCUAGAGUGCGGUUAGAGGAUGGUGGAAUUCCCGGUGUAGCGGUGAAAUGCGUAGAGAUCGGGAGGAACACCCGUGGCGAAGGCGGCCAUCUGGACCAGCACUGACGCUGAGGCACGGAAAGCGUGGGAGCAAACAGGG
rnacentral:rRNA from 1 species